AUUGAUAAGGCAAACGCCAUUAUUACAGACGUGAGCUUUGCGAAGUUGAUAAUCAAUUCGCAUUUUCUCACCUGUGGCCGAAUAUAGUCGUGAGGUACUCUUCUGGAGAUAUCGAGUGGGUAUGAGGCCUUUGACAAUACAGUUAGUGUCUGCCCCGGUGUCAAAAAGAGCGACUUUGUUUAUGACAAAGUCUUUGUCAAUGACGAUGUUAACGACUAUGUGUUCGCUGUAGGCCUUGAUGGCGGCUACAGUUGUAGAGGUAGAAGGAACCGCCGGAACUUCUUCUCCGGGGAAAGAAGUGGGUUCUUGGAGAUGAUCAGUCGGAAUGCUGAUCGGAG
rnacentral:lncRNA from 1 species